UCGCGUUUUCGGAGCGGCCGAUAUCGGAUUAGCUAGUAGGUGAGGUAAAGGCUCACCUAGGCGACGAUCCGUAGCUGGUCUGAGAGGACGACCAGCCACACUGGAACUGAGACACGGUCCAGACUCCUACGGGAGGCAGCAGUGGGGAAUUUUGGACAAUGGGCGAAAGCCUGAUCCAGCCAUGCCGCGUGAGUGAAGAAGGCCUUCGGGUUGUAAAGCUCUUUCAGCCGGAAAGAAAACGCAUGGGUUAAUAACCUGUGUGGAUGACGGUACCGGAAGAAGAAGCACCGGCUAACUACGUGCCAGCAGCCGCGGUAAUACGUAGGGUGCGAGCGUUAAUCGGAAUUACUGGGCGUAAAGCGUGCGCAGGCGGUUUUGUAAGACAGAUGUGAAAUCCCCGGGCUUAACCUGGGAACUGCAUUUGUGACUGCAAGGCUAGAGUACGGCAGAGGGGGGUAGAAUUCCACGUGUAGCAGUGAAAUGCGUAGAUAUGUGGAGGAAUACCGAUGGCGAAGGCAGCCCCCUGGGUCGAUACUGACGCUCACGCACGAAAGCGUGGGGAGCAAACAGGAUUAGAUACCCUGGUAGUCCACGCCCUAAACGAUGUCAACUAGGUGUUGGGGGAGGAGACUUCCUUAG
rnacentral:rRNA from 1 species